CGGCAACAGCUCAAAUUUGAAAUCUGGCCCCUUCGGGGCCCGAGUUGUAAUUUGGAGAAGAUGCUUCGGGCGGGGCCCCGGUCUAAGUUCCUUGGAACAGGACGUCACAGAGGGUGAGAAUC
rnacentral:rRNA from 1 species